UCUUUCGGUCGAUAGGUUGAC
rnacentral:piRNA from 1 species